rnacentral:lncRNA from 1 species
AACAACCUAUUCAUUUUUGCUCCAUCUCUAGCAUUAUUGUACCCUAUAAUAUUUGCUUAUAUGAUAUAAAAACUGAAGGCAAAACGUGAUUUACAUGGACUUCAGAAAUUUUGACAUGCCUCUUUGCCUUUUUUUUUGGUUUAUCCUGAAACCGUAUCCACUGAAAAUUUGACAUGGGGUUCUGAACAAGCUGUUCAUUUUUGCUCCAUCUCUGGCAUUAUUGUUCCACUUUUUCUUAUUCAAAUUUUACUGCACUAGGUUUUGUAGCAAUAUGUUGUUCCUCGAUGACAAUGGAUGAUCUUUGUACUUUUUUUUCCAUCAUGUUUAUGACUUUUGUACCUGGCGGAGUGUUGCAAGAGUCUGGAAUUGAAGUGUAUGCUUAGUGUCAGGGAACCCACUAACCAAUGAAAUCAGGUGAAGUGCCGCAAUUACACAAAAAAUAGCGCUCACAGGUUAAUACAAGUUUAAAUUUAAAAUUAUUAUAGCAUUAGUUUGUUCCCGUUGCAACGCACGAGCAUGGUCCUAGUACAACUAAAAAUUAUGGAAAGGACUCAUCUACCACAACCAUGGUGAAGCCACAACUCCACCCCUUUUAGCUAUGAUAGGCUAUCUCAUCAACCUAGGCCCCACUCACCCAUACAUGCAAAAUUGUUUUAGCGAAUUUAAAAAAGUCAUAACUUUUAAACUGAAGAUAUAAAUUAAAUUCCGAUUGCAAAAUUGAAUUUCUCAUAACAAAUCCUUCAAAACAAGAUGACACAUGGAUAUAUUUAGAUAAAAUUUUAUUAAUGAAUAUUUAUCUCUACAACUAAAAAUUGUCCCUUUUAGCUAUGAUAGGCUAUCUCAUCAACCUAGACCCCACUCACCCAUACAUGCAAAAUUGUUUUAACGAAUUUAAAAAAGUCAUAACUUUUAAACCGAAGAUAUAAAUUAAAUUCCGAUUGCAAAAUUGAAUUUCUCAUAACAAAUCCUUCAAAACAAGAUCACACAUGGAUAUAUUUAGAUAAAAUUUUAUUAAUGAAUAUAUAUCUCUACAACUAAAAAUUAUGGAAAGGACUCAUCUACCACACUCAUGGUGAAGCCACAAGUUCCAUCCCUUUUAACCAUGAUAGGCUAUCCCAUCAACCUAGUCCCCACUCACCCAUGCAUGCAAAAUUAUUUUAGCGAAUUUAAAAAAGUCAUAACUUUUAAACCGAAGAUAUAAAUUAAAUUUCAAUUGCACCAUUAAAUUUCUCGUAACAAAUCCUUCAAAACAAGAUCACACAUGGAUAUAUUUAGAUAAAAUUUUAUUAAUGAAUAUAUAUCUCUAUCUACUACUAAAAAUUAUGGAAAGAACCCAUCUACCACACUCAUGGUAAAGCCACAACUUCCAUCCCUUUUAGCCAUGAUAGGCUAUCCCAUCAACCUAGGCUCCACUCACCCAUGCAUGCAAAAUUAUUUUAGCGAAUUUAAAAAAGUCAUAACUUUUAAACCGAAGAUAUAAAUUAAAUUUCAAUUGCACCAUUAAAUUUCUCAUAACAAAUCCUUCAAAAC